GACCACUCCGGUGGUCUAGUGGCUAAAGCGUCCGCCUCGGAUGCGGGAAGCCACGGGUUUUGAACCCUGGCCGAGUCA